rnacentral:rRNA from 1 species
UACGAGAGGACCGGGAUGGACAUACCUCUGGUGUACCAGUUGUCGUGCCAACGGCAUAGCUGGGUAGCUAUGUGUGGACGGGAUAAGUGCUGAAAGCAUCUAAGCAUGAAGCCCCCCUCAAGAUGAGAUUUCCCAACUUCGGUUAUAAGAUCCCUCAAAGAUGAUGAGGUUAAUAGGUUCGAGGUGGAAGCAUGGUGACAUGUGGAGCUGACGAAUACUAAUCGAUCGAAGACUUAAUCAA